CAACUGUCCUGAAAAAAGGCACUGUUACCAUACUUCAGUGAGACACUAGAAAAAAGGGUGGGACACAUUUUGGUAACAGCACAAUCUGCCUCUUUGUUUCAGGUUCAGCAAUCCAACUUCAUUUUGCACCUUCCUGUUAGUACCUUAAGGAGCAAACAGUCAGUCACUGAACCAGCUCAGCAAGAAGCUUCAUUGGCGCCAUUUCUUCAGAGUGAGAGGAGUGAGAAAGCUCAGAACUGCACUGGUGUUUCCUACACCAAAGUGUAGCAACAUGAAGAAAGGAACUUCAUUUUAUUCAUGGAGCUGAAGGGUAGUUCCCACCGUCACAAACAGCACAACACGGUCAGGCUACAGAAAGUGCCGGUAGUACCAGCAAGAGCUUCAGCCAAGAACAGGCCUCGGUCCUGGCGGACCUGCAGACAACAGAAGAUGCGGCGUGCAAAACAGAAGUGCCAGGGAAGAGAAAGCGCUGGGAGCUGCUCCUGCCUGGCGGGUGGCAGCUGCGCGGCAGAGGGCACCCUUGGCCCUCGCUCGGCGCCCCCAGCUGCUGCACCCGCAGCCUCAAGCCCACCUGGCUCCCCUGCCAGCUGCGGAGCUAUCAAUUAGCUCAGGUAAGGGCUUGUCUGAAGGAAAGGACUGCUUGCCUUGGAUCAAUUGUCCCUAUUCAAAAAGUCUGCUAAAGCACCUCCACCCUCAUUUUCCCUUUCCCCUAAAAUAUUUCCUUAUGUUGGUGUUUGCUGCUGCUUGAACUGAAUUGAUUUCUCUGUCUUGAUCUGUCAGACUGGUUGCCCCAUAUAUGCUCAAACACUGCAUCUGUGAACCAAAUGAGCCUGUUUGCACUCAGUGCUCCUCAGUGAAGCAGCAGCCCUGCUUACGAAGUGGUCGGGGGUUCCCCUGAAUCUGCCCGAAGCCCAGGGCCUGCCUCUUCCUCAGCCCCCACGCUGAGCCAUACUGCAGGACAUUUAUCCAUGAGCCCUUCUACGCUACCAGGGUGAUGCACGGGGUGCACCCGAAGGCGCUGAUCCUCUGCACUGCGGCUGCCUCCCUCCGGCUGGGCACUACACGAGCUCAGUGUGAAGUUACCAGAGAGGUGCGAGGGUAGGAUCUGCACAGCCUUAGUUUUAUCCCACUGUUUCCCUUCCCUGCAGCCAAGGCUCACGUUAGCGCAAUCCUUCAUGCCUGGGGCUGGCAAGAAACAGGCUGCUUUUCUCUGCCGCUUCAGUCCUGCAAAACGGAUGCAUCACAAGAGCAAACCAAGUCCUCCUGCUUCUGUUUGGACUCAUCCUGGCCCACAGCUUUAGCAGACCAGUAACUUUCAACCUUUCAACCUACAACCGGGCUCUACAAGAACAAUGGGUUAAAAAAAAUAAAUCUCCAUUAUUGCUAGUGAAUUAGAAGGCAAUAAAUGACUAUCGGUUUUCUUGGUUUGCACAGACUGUAAACUCGCACUCCUGGCUUAUUUCACACUAUAUGCUCAUCAGCUUUCUAUGGACAAUGACCAGGAAGGAACAAGCCUCUUACAAACACAACCUGGCAGCUGCCCGCUGCCCAGGCUGAAAGGCAUCUCCUGCUGCUGAAUAUAACCUGUGUCGUUGUUUCAGUAUAGACCAAUCGUCACAACAAGGGCUUGCAGCCUGGAGAUUAUCCAUGAAGGCUCAUGCCUUCAUCUUUGCCCAUUAAGCACUGAAUCCCCUCAAGGGGCUGCAGCAUACAUUCAAAGGAAAAAGUUUGUAAGGCAAAAAAAUGGAAAAUUCGUAUGAUGACUGCACUCCAGGUUUAACCAGAAUGGGAAAUGUAACAUGUUUUACAGAAAAUCUGUCACUGUGUACUGAUGACUAAAAGCACGUAGAGGUGUUAAGUGAUCUGCAGAUACCUGCCAUGGCAAUUCUUCUGUAUGCAAACAUCUUCUGAGCUCAACAUUUUUCAAGUUGGACAAGCGUUUCUUUUUAUUUAGCAAAGGGGAAAAGAGGGUGGAUUAACAGGUGCAACAACAAAGAGUUCGGAUCACAAAAUGCAUAUUCCUUGUGAAACAUUGAAUUCUGAGCUAGAUCUGUCUCCAGUGCUUGGGUUCAUUUUGUUAACAAAGUAAGGAGGUAUCACAAACUGGGCAUUCAACAAGAGACAAAGUAUGGACUUUCUUGCAACAGCAUUCUCUGUAUCUGACCCAGACAUCACUAAAUUAAAGCAGUGAGAUCCUAGGGACCUCUCAUAGUAUACAAUCUCAGUAUUUUUUUUCAAGUUACUUCUAUAAAGCCUUUUUCUUUAUUGCCAGCUUCUCUCACAUAUGGAAACACUCUAAAAAUGGCAGCAGCUUCUGUUUUCACUACAAUGCAGUUCCCAUAGCUGUAUCAAUGUACUUGUAUAUGUGUAUGUGGAAUUUUAAUUCUAUAGACUGCUUUAAGAACAAAUUGCACGCUACCAUUGUCCCUGUCCUGUUUUUGAGGCUUUGAUGCAGUCGGGAAAAAAACAAACCUCGAACUCUCAGCAAGUGCCAGACCUGUGCCUGCAGCAGAAUGGGUGAGCUGAGGAAGGGAAGCAGCAGAGCUGGUGCCUUGUACAUCCACACGCACACAUGAGGUUGGUUUUGAGCACAAAAAUCUGCCCAUGCAACUUUUUACAUCUUCUACCUAUUGAACAGGCCUUUGGGAAAGCAGUUCGGUGAAACCCAUGAAAACCAAAGGGAACUCAGGCUCUGCCUGUCCAGCUUUCCUCCUGCAACCCAGCCAGAGUGAAGACAAGCUGGCGCUUUUUCCGCACUGUGCUCACCAACGGGAAAUAAGAGAAAAGAGCCUCAGGUGACAGGAACAGGAAGAGUUUACACAGACACACGAUGAGCCUAGUGACAAGAACAUUUCUCAGAGCUGUGCUUCCUUCUGGCCACCAGCCCCAUGCAGGGGGCGUCUCCCAUCCCAGCUGUGCUGUCCGGGCAGCGGCUGCUGCAGCAAAGCCAUCCACAUCACGGCACGAGUGUGCAGAAUUACAUGCCUGAGCACUUUUUUUUUUUCCCCUCCUGGCUGCAUGCUAAAGGCUGCUCUCUGUUUUGAGCAUCCGAAUCCCACCUAUUUAAUGGCAGAGCCCUGGUGUGGCAGGCAGCAGUACAGAGGAAUCACAAAACGUUCAGGAAGGGACCGAUCGUGCCCAAACCUGCUGAUGAGGAGAUUUAGUUUUACUCUAAGAGGAAUCACAGGGGAGGGAUUCACGUAGGCAAAACUGCAUGGGCAUGAGGGUCUGCAGAAUUAAGGCUUUCGCAUGUGUUACAAACAUACCUCUGGGGUCUUAAUAUUCAUGAAGCACCUCAAAUUGCCAAGGCAUUUCACAGGUUAUAUACACAAAGGACAUUUGAGCCAGGACCUGCUUUAGGAAAACAUUUCCAUUUGACCCAGAGUCUUAAAUACACUAUAGAAGACCUGUUGAAAAUAACGUGAUUUCAGAGCAAGUCCAACAUUAGCCUUAAGUGCUUUUCUGAACAAGGAUGGAUUAAAACAUUUACUUAAGUGCUUUCCUAAGUUCUGCCCUCAGCGCUGUGUAACCUGGCCUUGCACUUGUUAUCACAUAACAGCGCUCAGAGCUACACAACACCUGAGGAGAGAGACAGAAACAUCUUUCCUGAGCAAAACUACAGAAUUUGGAAAACAAAAACUGAAAGUCUCCUGACCCAGAUUUGCUAGGAUGACUCUUCUGAAAGACCAUAAUAUGGUGGUGCACAAAAUCAUCUCAACCAGCCUAGCACCCUGUCCCUGGCCAGCCUUGGCCCCUUAAGGACCAGGUCUAGGAUGGGAUACUUACAGAAAGAGCAUGCAGAGUGUGAUCCCUCCCCAAAACCCUUUCCCAGCUUCUAGAGAUAUGGAGAGGGUCACAGUUACAGUCUGUGUGCUGUCCUGUUGCGCACAGCUCCCUUUACGGAUUUUGCCUGCAAAUGACCCACUUCAGCAUCACCUCCUGCCUUGCUUUUUUUUUUUUUUUUUUUCCCUCCAGCCUCUUGUGCAAACGCAGACCUCGCUUGCUCUGCUGUGCUGUGGGGAACUCCGUCAGUUUGUCCAUUAAGUUAAUUCAGCUUGUAAAAUAAAAUGAAGACUUUGUGACAGGUCCUCUGCAACCCAAAUGACUCAGCCAGGAGUUCUGUUUGCGUGCUGGGUGCUGCAGGCGGAUGUUAGAGGAUCACUGACAACUUGGACAUCGUGUUCGUGAUGUUCCUGUGACAUGUAGCACCCAGGCUCCAGCGCUAGGGAAGAACCUGUGCCGGUGUGUGUUCUUUCCGUAGGGAGCCCUGACUGGGCAUAUAACCAGCUUCUCUUUCCCCUGAAGUCACUCGCGAUGAAUUUCACUCCUAUGUGGAGGGCUAGUAUGAGGUAUAAGCACCACUUAAAUCCUACUUCAGCAUUACUUCCAGAGCUUAAGUGGAGCUGAUGUGAUUGGUACCUUGUCUGAACUCUUGUGAAGGGGUAAAUUUCAGCAUCAGUCCCCCUGACAGUGUGGGCCUUUCCCAGAGUGGCAGGGAACAGAGGAGGUAUUAAAGAAUAAGGAAAAUGUGAUAACAGAACCACAACUAUUGGCGAGAGUGACUCAGCCGCGCCCUCCGGAACAGUCUCUAGCUUCCUUUUUACAACAGAUUUCCAGCUGCUUGCAUCUCUUUAAUUAAAAAGAGAUGUUCUUUUGAAUGGCAUAUAAAAAUGUAACAGCACAUGUCUGGAUCAUGGUUUUGAAGCCUCAAACAUACCCCGCAAUUUAGGGACUAAGAACAUCACAAAAAACAAGCUAUAAAAUGAACUGAACCAAAAGUAUGGAGGAUAAUUCUUCCUUCUUCCUGUAAUAAAAAUGCAAGUUGUCCAAAAUGUUAGGAAUGGUUCUAACUGCAUUUGUUCCUGAAUAAGCUCUGAUAAAAUGAAUUUUGGGUGGGAGCUGUUUUCCACAGCUAAUGAAUAAAUCCACAAGGAAGAUUAAAUAUAGCAAGAACGCUAACAGUUGCGUUUUGAGAUGCUGCUGUGACUCAAGCGAAGAUGUUUGACCUCUCCAUGAAAUUUUGAUAUAAGACAAAUCAUUGAUUCUGCUGACCUACUCGGGAGCCAGUAAUGUGAUUCAAAUCAUCUGACUGUCAACAGAAAGCAUUUACUCUUGUAAAACAGUUAGCUAAAAGUGCUUUUUCACAGUUGAAUAUUUUGAAAAAUGAAAUCAUAGGUUGAACAAGUUAAAAAAAAAAGCUUUUUUUCCUGGAAAGCAUAAUUCAGUAUGGACUAAUAAUAAUCACAGGUCAUUAUUAUUUAGACAUUUUGAUUUGUGCUACUUCUCCUUAUUUACAAAUUCCUUCCUCCCUACCCAAAAUGUUUUGGUAUACAUACUUAUAUAAAUUGCAAGUAUU
ensembl:lncRNA